UGAGGAAUAUUGGUCAAUGGACGCAAGUCUGAACCAGCCAAGUAGCGUGCAGGAUGACGGCCCUAUGGGUUGUAAACUGCUUUUAUAUGGGGAUAAAGUGGGGAACGUGUUCCCUUUUGCAGGUACCAUAUGAAUAAGGACCGGCUAAUUCCGUGCCAGCAGCCGCGGUAAUACGGAAGGUUCGGGCGUUAUCCGGAUUUAUUGGGUUUAAAGGGAGCGUAGGCCGUUUGGUAAGCGUGUUGUGAAAUGUAGGAGCUCAACUUCUAGAUUGCAGCGCGAACUGUCAGACUUGAGUGCGCACAACGUAGGCGGAAUUCAUGGUGUAGCGGUGAAAUGCUUAGAUAUCAUGAAGAACUCCGAUUGCGAAGGCAGCUUACGGGAGCGCAACUGACGCUGAAGCUCGAAGGUGCGGGUAUCGAACAGGAUUAGAUACCCUGGUAGUCCGCACAGUAAACGAUGGAUGCCCGCUGUUAGCACCUAGUGUUAGCGGCUAAGCGAAAGCAUUAAGCAUCCCACCUGGGGAGUACGCCGGCAACGGUG
rnacentral:rRNA from 1 species